GACGAACGCUGGCGGCGUGCCUAAUACAUGCAAGUCGAACGCUGAAGAGAGGAGCUUGCUCUUCUUGGAUGAGUUGCGAACGGGUGAGUAACGCGUAGGUAACCUGCCUUGUAGCGGGGGAUAACUAUUGGAAACGAUAGCUAAUACCGCAUAACAAUGGAUGACACAUGUCAUUUAUUUGAAAGGGGCAAUUGCUCCACUACAAGAUGGACCUGCGUUGUAUUAGCUAGUAGGUGAGGUAAUGGCUCACCUAGGCGACGAUACAUAGCCGACCUGAGAGGGUGAUCGGCCACACUGGGACUGAGACACGGCCCAGACUCCUACGGGAGGCAGCAGUAGGGAAUCUUCGGCAAUGGGGGCAACCCUGACCGAGCAACGCCGCGUGAGUGAAGAAGGUUUUCGGAUCGUAAAGCUCUGUUGUAAGUCAAGAACGGGUGUGAGAGUGGAAAGUGCACACUGUGACGGUAGCUUACCAGAAAGGGACGGCUAACUACGU
rnacentral:rRNA from 1 species